rnacentral:rRNA from 1 species
UUUAUGGAGAGUUUGAUCCUGGCUCAGGACGAACGCUGGCGGCGUGCCUAAUACAUGCAAGUCGAGCGCGGGAAGCAG